GGCGAGGGCGCGCGGAGGGGUGGUGCGCGGGGUGGGCAGAGCGCGCAGGCUGGUGGGCCAGGCGGGCGACGGACAGGCGGCGGGCGGGAGCGCGCAGCGGACGAGGCGGCGGCGAGAGUUACAGUACUUACUUGUUGUUAGUGUCAGUCGCUCCGCGGCGCGGCCACGACCAGCAGGAAGAACGCGGACGCGCGGCAAUGGUGGUCCCCGCGGCGGCGAGCGCGCCCCUCAGGAAAAGAAUAUUUGAAGUCCAUUUGUAAAGAAAGAAAAGGAACCAAGUACAGAAUGCCUAAAGAUGGAGCCAGCUAAACUAGUAAACAUUACUAUCUUCAGAAUACAAGUUAAGAAAUGAGAGGCAAGGAAGAAAGGACAUUCAUCUUGGAAAGAUUCAGAGCACUUUGAAAUUUUCAGUGAAUGUAACAUUAGCUGCUAACACCCCCUUUGUCACCGGAAUUGAUGACGUGCUUCAAAUUUAAAUGGUAACUAGAAAUUUCCUAUCAUCUUGUUUCCAUCUAGAACUUUAUGUGGCUUGAGAGGAUUUAAAUGUUUACAAAUGCCAGACUGAAGCUAAAGUUUAUAAUUUUACAUCUUAGCAUUGUCAGGCUUUAUUUUGGCCCUUAAUGUUUGUUCAAAAAGUUGUUUUUCGUCCCAGCUUUUUAAUUUAGAAACAUAACCU
rnacentral:lncRNA from 1 species